UGGAGAGAGAAGAAGAAAGAAAUUCCAAGAAGAAAGUGGAAGCGUCAGGGCCAUACUUCAUCUGUCUUAGAUUAGAUACGGCUUUAGAAAACCUAGGACUUGAGAAAGCAGCUUGUUUUCACAAUUGUGGCUGUAACUGAAAAUGAUGUGAAUCAUCUUCCAGAUGUUCAUAUAUGCGGACAAUUCUGAAUUUUACCUUUUAUUCAAGCCAGAUGGCGAAGUGAGUUAGGCCGCGGCAUUGAAUGCGAUGGAACGUUGUGUGAAUGAGUAAGUGAACUUUAUUUAACGACAGUGAACUCAUGAGGAUUUUACAACGCCAAUUAUAGAAUAGAAUACAAUAAAAAAUUACAUAUUACAAUUUUAUAUACAUAUCAUUUAUGAAAGUGCCUGUUUCCAAUGGCAAUGAGUUCCGUGUAAUUACUAAUAUAAAGAUACAAAUUUGAAAAUGAUCGUAUGAAGUUGCUGCAGUCAGACUUGAAUUUACGUAAAGUGUUAGCUUGUCGUAUCUCGGCUGGAAGGGUGUUACACAGUAUCGCACCACUGACACUGGAGCUAAAACUAUUUUCAAUGAGUUCUUGAGAUAAAGUUAAUGUGCCUUCGGUGUCUCCCAAUGUAUAAUUUGUAAUGUUGCUGCGAUCGACAAACAUGUCCGUUAGGUAAUCUUGUACAAGUACACUCAGAGAUAAUAUUUAACACACCAUUACAGCCUUAGCAAUUUUACGCUGAGAUGCAAGGUGUUUUUUUAAGUAUAAAGUUUUAAGAAUAUUUUAAAGACUCACUUGCUUUUAAUGUUUAAGUAGAUUAAUUAUCUUAAGAGCAA